UGAACGCUGGCGGCAUGCUUUACACAUGCAAGUCGAACGGUAACAGGUUAAGCUGACGAGUGGCGAACGGGUGAGUAAUGCAUCGGAACGUGCCCGAUCGUGGGGGAUAACGCAGCGAAAGCUGCGCUAAUACCGCAUACGAUCUGAGGAUGAAAGCGGGGGACCGUAAGGCCUCGCGCGAUCGGAGCGGCCGAUGUCAGAUUAGGUAGUUGGUGGGGUAAAGGCUCACCAAGCCGACGAUCUGUAGCUGGUCUGAGAGGACGACCAGCCACACUGGGACUGAGACACGGCCCAGACUCCUACGGGAGGCAGCAGUGGGGAAUUUUGGACAAUGGGCGAAAGCCUGAUCCAGCAAUGCCGCGUGCAGGAAGAAGGCCUUCGGGUUGUAAACUGCUUUUGUACGGAGCGAAAAGGCUCUCUCUAAUACAGGGGGCUCAUGACGGUACCGUAAGAAUAAGCACCGGCUAACUACGU
rnacentral:rRNA from 1 species